CGUUGGUGUCAAAGAGUGGUUCUGGACCAAAUUCGGCUUCCCGACACUCCAGUAGGACGUGGAGGAUGGUCAGCCUCUCCCCGCA
rnacentral:lncRNA from 1 species